rnacentral:rRNA from 1 species
AAACUGGGAUUAGAUACCCCACUAUGCCAGGCCAUAAACUUUGGACUUUCCGCCAGAACAUUACGAGCCACAGCUUAAAACUCAAAGGACUUGGCGGCGCCUCACAUCCACCUAGAGGAGCCUGUUCUAUAAUUGAUAACCCCCAAUAAACCUCACCAUCUCUUGCAAAUACAGCCUAUAUACCACCGUCUUAGCCAACCUCACCAGAGAAUAAUAGUAGGCUUAAUAAUUUAAAAUUAAAAAGUCAGGUCAAGGUGUAGCAAAUGAGUUGGAAGAAAUGGGCUACAUUUUCUUUAAAGAAAACACGAACUACUUCAUGAAACAAAAGAACGAAGGAGGAUUUAAUAGUAAAAAGAAAAUAGAGUGUUCUUUUUAAAUUGGCAAUAAGGCGAGCACACACCGCCCGUCACCCUCUUAACACACAACAACAUACAACAUAAAAUAUAAUAAUUUUAUUCAAAAUAGAGGAAAGUCGUAACAUGGUAAGCGCACA